rnacentral:ncRNA from 1 species
AAAAUGACGAUGACAGGGAAUAGUAAGCGUUUAUCUUGCUGGUUCAGAGAGCCGCCGGUUGGUGCGAGGCGGUCAAAGGCAAGGCGCAGAACUCUCCUUUGGAGUAGCCGACCGAAAUCCUUUGGAAAGUAGGCCCGGACGGGAUCUUCCGCCGUUAAAAGGAAGGAGAUAUCGGAUUUUUUAAUCCCGUAUCUUUUUAAGAGAACGGCUUUUAUGCCGUUAAAUUGAGUGGUACCGCGGAGGUAAACCCUUCGUCUCAUAU